rnacentral:misc_RNA from 1 species
CCUCCUUAAACGAAGCCGAAUGCUUCGGUCAGAGUCCACACGAAUUACUUGGUUGGCUAAUAAAGAGAGCAGAUGGGUCUUUGCAGGCCCGUACGAUUGGGUCUGUAGCUCAGGUGGUUAGAGCGCACCCCUGAUAAGGGUGAGGUCGGUGGUUCAAGUCCACCCAGACCCACCAAAAUCGUCCAGCUCGGCGUUAUCGACUGACUUGCAUAGCAGGCUAUGCAGCGCCCAUCGAUGCCUUGAUCUGAACGAUUUCUUAGCCUGAGAGUCCAAGCACGAUCGGGUUUGGAAGAUAGCUUUAAAUGGGGCUAUAGCUCAGCUGGGAAANCGCCUGCCUUGCACGCAGGAGGUCAGCAGUUUCGAUCCUGCUUAACUCCCCCAUUAGCUGCCUGACUGGCAAGCACCCGAAAAAAACUAGCUGAAUGCUUUCCCAUUGGGAAGUGUCAGUGUACA